UACGGGGGGUGCAAGCGUUAAUCGGAAUCACUGGGCGUAAAGCGUGCGUAGGCGGUUUGUUAAGUCUGCUGUGAAAUCCCCGGGCUCAACCUGGGAAUGGCAGUGGAUACUGGCAAGCUAGAGUGUGUCAGAGGAUGGUGGAAUUCCCGGUGUAGCGGUGAAAUGCGUAGAGAUCGGGAGGAACAUCAGUGGCGAAGGCGGCCACCUGGCCCAAUACUGACGCUGAGGCACGAAAGCGUGGGGAGCAAACAGG
rnacentral:rRNA from 1 species